rnacentral:rRNA from 1 species
AUUGAACGCUGGCGGCAUGCCUAACCCAUUCACGUCGAACGAGUGGCGGACGGGUGAGUAAUUUCUGGGAAACUGCCUGAUGGAGGGGGAUAACUACUGGAAACGGUAGCUAAUACCGCAUACCAUCGGAUGUGCCCAGAUGGGUUUAGCUAGUGGGUUGGGUAAAGGCUCACCUAGGCGACGAUCCCUAGCUGGUCUGAGAGGAUGACCAGACACACUGGAACUGAGACACGGUCCAGAGUCCUACGGGAGGCAGCAGUGGGGAAUAUUGCACAAUGGGCGAAAGCCUGAUGCAGCCAUGCCGCGUGUAUGAAGAAGGCCUUCGGGUGGUAAAGUACUUUCAGCGGGGAGGCGUUACCCGCAGAAGAAGCACCGGCUAACUACGUGCCAGCAGCCGCGGUAAUUC